ACGACCGGCUACUGUCCGGACCACUGCAGGCCGCCUCCACAAGCCGCUGAGGUGAGCACCACGGUGGCCCAUCCUACUGAUCCCUUCACAUCACGGCCUUUCCUCUCGUGCUAAUGGAGUGCUGCGUUUUUGUUUCUCUCUAAGUGUAUACAUGUGUGGGGUGAAAAUCCUAGAAAAGCUUGGGAUGGUGGUGCUGCUCGAGGAGGCGGCGGCGGUUUUGGGAGCGGCGACAGCUUGCUCUACUACUCGGACGACGAUGGCUGGAACGGAUACAGGAUGUUUCUGGGAGGCACUAAAAUGGAUACGAAUCAUGCCAUGAACCCUUCAGGACCACAGAUGGAAGUGCUGCUACACGGGCAAACUGCCGGUGCUGAUGGGAGGAGCUCGCCCUGGCAUUGGGGAGGCACAUAGGUCGAGAUUGGGGUCUUCUGCCCAGGCCGCUGCUGCCAGCAACACUGCCCUUGAGCUUUUGCUCCGGCCACAGUUUCGACCACCCGCUCAUGCUACCGACUACGUCCAUGAGUUGCUGCUAACGUCCACCACUCUGACCUGCUUCUGAUGCCUGAUGAGUUGAUACUGGAGCUUGGACCAUACAUUGAGGAGCUCAAGAAUACACAUGGUGCUAUUUUUGAAUUUGGAAAUUCGAAGUAAUUGUUCUGCGCAUUUGCUCCAAGGAUUUCCCUUUUUACACUGCUAUUUGUUUUUUGAAUGGAAACAUUGCUAAUGUGCAUCAAGUAUGUGUCUAAUUUCUAUUCCCGCUGUGUAAGUUCUUAGAUUGUUUAUAUCAGUGGUCAUUGGAGGUUGAGACAAUGAAGUUGCUCCUGGUUUUGCUAUGUUUUUUUAACCCAAUUUACUUGUGAAUGCUUGUCUCUUCCAUUUCUUUAUGCAGCACUUGUGAUAAUAAUAGUUCCUCUUGUUGUUACUGACUCCAAUUGGUGUACACAAAGUCUCAGAAAAGGUUCUGCUUGGUUUGGUGUAGGUGGAGGUGCUUCAACUCUGCCUCGAGGACAUCGUGGCCCGGCCUUGGUUAAAACCUUUAUGGUUCUGCCGCUUGGGUCUGGUGCACUUCCUGAUGUGUAUCGGUGUUGAGGUCGACGGUGCGGCAUGUCCUACCAUCGUCACCCAGCAUGCUCUCGCGGUGUUGCUGCUGCGCUGGCUUUUGCCCGUGUGAUAUUGUUUCAAAGAAUUCUUGUAGUAUGCUUGGGUCCAAUGGCUGUCCGUGGCCUCCUGUGCGUAUAUGCCAGUGCAAUGACGGCAAGUUCACCAUGGCUGGUUCCUUGACUUCAGCGUGAUGGUUUAGGUUGUACCUAGUUCUUUGUGUUUCUGCAGUAGGGAAUGCAUCCCAUAUAUGUAUUAGACUUGUCAACUCAGAGAAAGUUCAUCUAUCGAAGUGACCGAGGAGAGCUGCGAUGCAUCCCAGGAAGCGAAUGUCAUGUCCAUCGAGGCAAUUUUAGCAGGAUGUUGAUCAUCUUACGAAGGAGAUCCUGCUGAGUCCAACCUCAGCAAUCAUGUAUGGUUUUAGAGCGUUAUUGUUCAUUCAAAUGAAGAAACCUAUUGCUGCCAUCCACGAUGCCAAUGUUUCUCUAGAGGCCAGGACGCAAGCCACAGAGGGCUGUCAUCCACCACACACUGAAAGAAACACCAUGAAACACACGGACUAAGGACUACGCUGCUGCUGCUUGACGCCAGCGAGGAGCCCUGUGCUGUAUGUGAGGCCGUGGAAGGCCCACACAACACCUCAGUUCUGUUUUGGUCGUCUCCUUGGACGUGGUCGCUGAAAACAAGUUCGCACUUGUUGUGCCGACACUCACGGGAUGCAGCAGCCAGGAACCUGGUGGCUCAUAUCUGGUCGCCACCCAGCCAUUCCAGGGUUCAGCUGGUUGGGUCUGGUGCAUUUCCUGAUGUGUAUCAGCCUUAAGUAGGAUGGGGCGGCCUGGCCUACUGUCUCCCUCAUCGACCGCUUUGGGUUCGUCGUCACCCACCAUGCUCUCGCGCUGCGCUGCUGCUGCGUUGGCUUAUUUGUGUGUGAUAUUGUUUGAAUAAUAAAUUCUUGUGGUAUUCAGUGGCUGGAAAAUUGGAAUGAUUAGAAGUUGUAAUAUACGGUCGUAAUGUAUAGUUGUUCUCAUUAUGUCUUUGGUUCCAACUUCUGAGUCUAAGUUGGUUUGUGUAUUUAUAUAUCACAAGGGUUGUGCUCGAAGCAAUUUUAGUGUCAAAUAUUUUGCUGUGUGAUCUAAUUGUCCAAAUAAUUAAAAUGGAAGGUGUUAUUUUUUUGAUUAACUUGUAAUAAUUGGAUAAUGAGCAUAGCCGUGUCUUGACUAUAAAGAAAAUCCCAUGGUCAGUACU